rnacentral:rRNA from 1 species
ACUCYUACGGGAGGCAGCAGUAAGGAAUAUUGCGCAAUGGGCGAAAGCCUGACGCAGCGACGCCGCGUGGGGGAUGAAGGUCUUCGGAUUGUAAACCCCUUUCGGGAGGGAAGAUGGAACGGGGUAACCCAUUCGGACGGUACCUCCAGAAGCAGCCACGGCUAACUUCGUGCCAGCAGCCGCGGUAAUACGAAGGUGGCAAGCGUUGUUCGGAUUUACUGGGCGUACAGGGAGCGUAGGCGGUUCGGUAAGCCCUCUGUGAAAUCUCCAGGCUUAACCUGGAACAGUCGGAGGGGACUGCUGGGCUAGAGGACGGGAGAGGAGCGCGGAAUUCCCGGUGUAGCGGUGAAAUGCGUAGAGAUCGGGAGGAAGGCCGGUGGCGAAGGCGGCGCUCUGGAACGUUUCUGACGCUGAGGCUCGAAAGCGUGGGGAGCAAACAGGAUCAGAUACCCUGGUAGUCCACGCCUUAAACUAUGAAUACUAAGUGUCGGCGGUUUACCGCCGGUGCCGCAGCUAACGCAUUAAGUAUUCCGCCUGGGAAGUACGGCCGCAAGGUUGAAACUUAAAUGAAUUGACGG